rnacentral:lncRNA from 1 species
AUGAUGAAGGUUUAAGAAGCGGCAUCAUCAGAGAACUGUGUUUUGAAGAUUUGAGGGAAGGGCUGACCUCAGGAUUUUAUACUAGGAAGGCCCUAUCUCAAGUGGCUCUGGUCCAUGCAAACAGAUGGAAACGGGUGUGGGGAAGCACAGGCCUCCUACUCAUGUUAAGAGAGCUGCUCAGAGGCAGGAAUCCAGAACCAGGAAUGUCCCCAGUGGCUGCCCAAGUUGCUGACCUCCAUAACAGCAGACAAAAUUGGAAGCAAGAGUGAUUUUGGAGGAGUCACACUUAGAUGUUUCCCUUACCUAUUUCUGUUCUGGAAAUUUAAAAAUCUUACUUCUCAUGACAGUCCUACAUGAAAAAUUAAAAAUCACAAGGAUUCACGGAUGGAAAACUGAGACUCAGAGAAUGAUCACAUUCACAUCGUAAUAAAUCAGCAAUAGAGUGAGUGAUUGUUCCUUGGUAAGAAAUCAACUCUAAACUCAGUUGGAAACCUUUGCCAAUAUUACUUAACACAUGACAAUCUGGUGUGACUCAUUUUUCUUGACAUUAUGCAAAUAAAGGAAACAAGACUGAGUGGCCUUCUGUCCGGAGAGCAGGAAAUGAAGGCUGUCUGGGGCCAC